AAUAGUAAGGUGUUGUAUGCAUUUUGUCUUUUGGUGACAAAGGAGAGUUGUUUCUGCUAUUU
rnacentral:tRNA from 1 species